ACGUCCAUACCACGUUGAACACACCGGUUCUCGUCCGAUCAUCGAAGUUAAGCAACGUCGGGCGCGGUCAGUACUUGGAUGGGUGACCGCCUGGGAACACCACGUGCCGUUGGCU
rnacentral:rRNA from 1 species